rnacentral:rRNA from 1 species
UGGGCGUUAAGUUGCAGGGUAUAGACCCGAAACCCGGUGAUCUAGCCAUGGGCAGGUUGAAGGUUGGGUAACACUAACUGGAGGACCGAACCGACUAAUGUUGAAAAAUUAGCGGAUGACCUGUGGCUGGGGGUGAAAGGCCAAUCAAACCGGGAGAUAGCUGGUUCUCCCCGAAAGCUAUUUAGGUAGCGCCUCGUGAAUUCAUCUCCGGGGGUAGAGCACUGUUUCGGCUAGGGGGCCAUCCCGGCUUACCAACCCGAUGCAAACUGCGAAUACCGGAGAAUGUUAUCACGGGAGACACACGGCGGGUGCUAACGUCCGUCGUGAAGAGGGAAACAACCCAGACCGCCAGCUAAGGUCCCAAAGUCAUGGUUAAGUGGGAAACGAUGUGGGAAGGCCCAGACAGCCAGGAUGUUGGCUUAGAAGCAGCCAUCAUUUAAAGAAAGCGUAAUAGCUCACUGGUCGAGUCGGCCUGCGCGGAAGAUGUAACGGGGCUAAACCAUGCACCGAAGCUGCGGCAGCGACACUCAGGUGUUGUUGGGUAGGGGAGCGUUCUGUAAGCCUGUGAAGGUGGCCUGUGAGGGUUGCUGGAGGUAUCAGAAGUGCGAAUGCUGACAUAAGUAACGAUAAAGCGGGUGAAAAGCCCGCUCGCCGGAAGACCAAGGGUUCCUGUCCAACGUUAAUCGGGGCAGGGUGAGUCGACCCCUAAGGCGAGGCCGAAAGGCGUAGUCGAUGGGAAACGGGUUAAUAUUCCCGUACUUGGUGUUACUGCGAAGGGGGGACGGAGAAGGCUAUGUUGGCCGGGCGACGGUUGUCCCGGUUUAAGCGUGUAGGCUGGUUUUCCAGGCAAAUCCGGAAAAUCAAGGCUGAGGCGUGACGACGAGGCACUACGGUGCUG